rnacentral:rRNA from 1 species
UGGGGAAUAUUGCACAAUGGGCGAAAGCCUGAUGCAGCGACGCCGCGUGCGGGAUGAAGGCCUUCGGGUUGUAAACCGCUUUUAAUUGGGAGCAAGCGAGAGUGAGUGUACCUUUUGAAUAAGCACCGGCUAACUACGUGCCAGCAGCCGCGGUAAUACGUAGGGUGCAAGCGUUAUCCGGAAUUAUUGGGCGUAAAGAGCUCGUAGGCGGUUUGUCACGCCUGGUGUGAAAGUCCAUCGCUUAACGGUGGAUCUGCGCCGGGUACGGGCAGGCUAGAGUGCAGUAGGGGAGAUUGGAAUUCCC